rnacentral:rRNA from 1 species
UACAGAGGUCUCGAGCGUUAGGCGGAAUCACUGGGCUUAAAGCGUGUGUAGGCGGAUCGGUAAGUACCUUGUGAAAUCCCACAGCUUAACUGUGGAACUGCUUGGUAUACUGCCAGUCUUGAGCCAGCUAGGGCUACCGGAACAAAUGGUGGAGCGGUGAAAUGCGUAGAUAUCAUUUGGAACGCCAAUGGUGAAAACAGGUAGCUGGGCUGUGCUGACGCUGGAGACACGAAAGCCAGGGAGCAAACGGG